CCAGACUCCUACGGGAGGCAGCAGUGGGGAAUAUUGCACAAUGGGGGGAACCCUGAUGCAGCGACGCCGCGUGGGUGAAGGAGCACCUCGGUGCGUAAAGCCCUAUCGGCAGGGAAGAAACAGACGGUACCUGACUAAGAAGCCCCGGCUAACUACGUGCCAGCAGCCGCGGUAAUACGUAGGGGGCGAGCGUUAUCCGGAUUCACUGGGUGUAAAGGGAGCGUAGACGGCCAAGCAAGCCAGGGGUGAAAGCCCGGGGCCCAACCCCGGGACUGCUCUUGGAACUGCGCGGCUGGAGUGCUGGAGGGGCAGGCGGAAUUCCUGGUGUAGCGGUGAAAUGCGUAGAUAUCAGGAGGAACACCGGUGGCGAAGGCGGCCUGCUGGACUGCGACUGACGUUGAGGCCCGAAAGCGUGGGGAGCAAACAGGAUUAGAUACCCGUGUAU
rnacentral:rRNA from 1 species